rnacentral:rRNA from 1 species
AUUGAACGCUGGCGGAAUGCUUUACACAUGCAAGUCGAACGGCAGCACGGGGGCAGCCCUGCUGGCGAGUGGCGAACGGGCGAGUAAUACACCGGAACGUGCCCGGUCGUGGGGGCUAACGUAACGUCGGUUACGCUGAUACCGCAUACGAUCUUAGGAUGAAACCGGGGGAUCUUUGGGCCUCGCCGGAUUUGCGGGGCCGAUGUCAGAUUAGGUAGUUGGUGAGGUAAAGGCCUACCAAGCCGACGAUCCGUAGCUGAUCUGAGAGGCCGACCAGCCACACUGGGACUGAGACACGGCCCAGACUCCUACGGGAGGCAGCAGUGGGGAAUUUUGGGCAAUGGGCGAAAGCCUGACCCAGCCACUCCGCGUGAAGGACGAAGGCCUUCGGAUUGUAAACUGCUUUUGUACGGAACGAACAGACUCUGGAUAAUACAUGGGGCUCAUGACGGUACCGUAAGAAUAAGCACCGGCUAACUACGUG